UACGUAGGGGGCAAGCGUUGUCCGGAAUCAUUGGGCGUAAAGAGCGUGUAGGCGGCCCGAUAAGUCCGCCGUGAAAGUCCAGGGCUCAACCCUGGGAUGCCGGUGGAAACUGUCGGGCUAGAGUCCGGAAGAGGCGAGUGGAAUUCCUGGUGUAGCGGUGAAAUGCGCAGAUAUCAGGAGGAACACCAAUGGCGAAGGCAGCUCGCUGGGACGGUACUGGACGCUGAGACGCGAAAGCGUGGGGAGCAAACAGG
rnacentral:rRNA from 1 species